UUAUGACUUUUUUAAUUUAAUGAAAAGCCAAGUGGUUUAUAGUAUUACGGAUUACAUCCUAUGAUGACAGGAAAUAAUCAAAAGUAAAAAGAUUUAAUUGCGAUUACAUCAAAUACUGACGCAAUUUUUAAGAUUAAGAAUACUUACAUCUAACUUCGACUUCAUAAUUAAAAAUUAAAAAGAGAAUUUUCGAAAUUAAGUCUGCACACUACUGACUUUUUCUGAAGUAAUCAUUAUUACGCCCUUUUUCCGUUCGUAAAUAAUUUCAUAAGCUGGAAGUAAUCGCGAACGCGCCAAUCAACCAGUUGAAACAUGAAUUUAUUCGUCUAUACUGCGCAUGCGUAAGGUGCGCAGGAGAAGCGUGUGUUUGUUUACUUCUCAUUACGGACGCGCCGCGCGGUGAUAACAGCACGUAUUGAUUGCAUUUCCGCAUUAUUCAUUGAAAUAGGAAUUUAGAGUGUUUAAAAAUUGUUUCCACGAUGUCUGGACGUCGAGGUCGGUCAAAGAAAAUGCUUGAUUUUGUAUUUUCAGGUUGUGAACAUAAUGAAUCUCACACAGCAAAUAGAAAUGACGAACUUUUUCCUCGUAACACAAACAACCAACGGAAUAUCGAAGAGACCGAGGUAGCAAGUUCAGAUGACAAACUACAUGCGUCGCAUUCAAUUCAAAUAAGAAAGAACCAGUUUUUAAGAACUAGUAGUAAAA